UGAGGAAUAUUGGUCAAUGGGCGCGAGCCUGAACCAGCCAAGUAGCGUGCAGGAAGACGGCCCUAUGGGUUGUAAACUGCUUUUAUGCGGGGAUAAAGGAGUCCACGUGUGGAUUUUUGCAGGUACCGCAUGAAUAAGGACCGGCUAAUUCCGUGCCAGCAGCCGCGGUAAUACGUAGGUCCCGAGCGUUGUCCGGAUUUAUUGGGCGUAAAGCGAGCGCAGGCGGUUAGAAAAGUCUGAAGUGAAAGGCAGUGGCUCAACCAUUGUAGGCUUUGGAAACUGUUUAACUUGAGUGCAGAAGGGGAGAGUGGAAUUCCAUGUGUAGCGGUGAAAUGCGUAGAUAUAUGGAGGAACACCGGUGGCGAAAGCGGCUCUCUGGUCUGUAACUGACGCUGAGGCUCGAAAGCGUGGGGAGCGAACAGG
rnacentral:rRNA from 1 species